UACAGAGGUCUCAAGCGUUGUUCGGAUUCAUUGGGCGUAAAGGGUGCGUAGGCGGCGCGGUAAGUCGGGUGUGAAAUCUCGGAGCUUAACUCCGAAACUGCAUUCGAUACUGCCUGUGCUUGAGGACUGGAGAGGAGACUGGAAUUUACGGUGUAGCGGUGAAAUGCGUAGAUAUCGUAAGGAAGACCAGUGGCGAAGGCGGGUCUCUGGACAGUUCCUGACGCUGAGGCACGAAGGCCAGGGGAGCAAACGGG
rnacentral:rRNA from 1 species